rnacentral:rRNA from 1 species
CAAUAGCGUAUAUUAAAGUUGUUGCAGUUAAAAGCUCGUAGUUGGAUUUCUGGCAGGAUGACUUUGCCCUCUGUAGAGUGCGCAAUGCUGUCCUACCAUCCUUCUGUUAACCCUACAGACCUUUAAAAGUUUGCAGGGGGCUCAGAUAUUUUACCUUGAGAAAAUUAGAGUGUUUCAGGCAGGCUAGCGCCGGAAUACAUUAGCAUGGAAUAAUAGAAUAGGACUUUUGCCUCUUCUGUUGGUCUGAGGGGUGUAAGUAAUGAUUAAUAGGGAUAGUUGGGGGCAUUAGUACUUAACUGUCAGAGGUGAAAUUCUCGGAUUUGUUAAAGACUAACUUAUGCGAAAGCAUUUGCCAAGGAUGUUUUCAUUAAUCAAGAACGAAAGUUAGGGGAUCAAAGACGAUUAGAUACCGU